CACUACAAGAGAUGCAGCAGUAGUCAAGGGAAGAGAUAACAAUACGGAAAGUCAUGCUUUCCGUAUUGGGUGGUUGGGAAAAUCGUACCUUGUUGGCUUAGUAGUGGUGGAGAUAUGGGGGCAAUUUCUGCAUCCUAUCAUUUUUGGUGAUGCCCUUCCUUUUCUACCUCUUAUGAUGAUUUCUAUAUACUGCGCGCUUGGGAUGUUGUACUCUUGGAUUUGGCAACUAACACAGAUCGUUUUGACCAAUUAAUUGAGGGCACAAACUUGUGUGCAUCAGGAUGUACGAUGCACUGGUCCUAGUUAAACCUAAUUAAGGUUCAUUAAUCCCAAAUUAGGAUCUAUCACUCACGAUUAGGAUUUGAUUAGGACCGGUGCCACUCGAUUGAGUUGGGAUCAUCUCAACUCUCAUAACUAACAAUUAACCAAGAUUAUGUUGUUGUAGGAGCACUUUUUUUCAGCUUACUAGGAACUUUAUAUUUCAAUGGACCUCAAUUGUUGACAUACACAUCUCGUUGCCUGUGCUUUUGAAAGAUUCUAAAUGUACAACACUUUUUCCUCUUCUAUUAUAUUCUACUUCCUUAUUUUGAUGAACGAGAAAGGCAAACAAUAUUGCACACCAACAUGGUGUCCUCUUCGGAAUUUCUUUAUUAUAAUCUUGUACUUUUGUUUUUCUUUGACUUGGGGGAGCAGUGGAAUUUGAAUGUUAGAUUUCAUUAUUCAUAAACAAGAGUUCGCAUCGUUUGAAUGUAUUCUCGAGAACAUCUGAUACUUUUGUUUGAUCAAUAGAGUUUGUGUUUUAAUAUUAUUUUGCAUUUAGCAUGCAUUAGUUUGAUAAAAUGUAAGAUGUAGUAAUUUUGUAUUGUAUUUUUUUUUUUUGAGGAAAUAUUUUUUUUGAUAGAUUAAUAUUGAAAUAUAUAUCUAUAAAAAGGACCAAUCAUUCAAGAGUGGUAGUAGGGCUGUGCAUCGGUUCAGAACCGAAUCGAACCGACCCAAUAUGUAAAAAUCGAAAUCGAACCGAUUGGUGUAGAAGUCGAACCGAACUGAACCGCCAAAAGCCAAAAACCGAUCAAAACCGAUCGGUUUCGGUCAGUAACCGAACCGAACCGCCAAGUCAUCAUCUAAGAUGGAACCAAUACUUAUUUCGGCAAGAGCACAUCUGAACUCAAGAUAAAUAAUACACAAAUUGAACAUAAACAUUAAAAGAUUAACCAUAACAUAAGGACUGGAGAUUGGUUGUCUCAUCGGUUUUCUCAAUUAGAUGAGAUACUACUGCUUCAGCACAAAUUUGUCAAACACUCAUCAAAUUAACAAAUCAAAAAUGAUAAAAUCAAUCAAAGAAGGGAUUAGGAGAGAGAAUAAUCCCUCCAGCCGACUCAUGAUGCACAAAUGAAGGCAANGAGUUCGCAUCGUUUGAAUGUAUUCUCGAGAACAUCUGAUACUUUUGUUUGAUCAAUAGAGUUUGUGUUUUAAUAUUAUUUUGCAUUUAGCAUGCAUUAGUUUGAUAAAAUGUAAGAUGUAGUAAUUUUGUAUUGUAUUUUUUUUUUGAGGAAAUAUUUUUUUUGACAGAUUAAUAUUGAAAUAUAUAUCUAUAAAAAGGACCAAUCAUUCAAGAGUGGUAGUAGGGCUGUGCAUCGGUUCAGAACCGAAUCGAACCGACCCAAUAUGUAAAAAUCGAAAUCGAACCGAUUGGUGUAGAAGUCGAACCGAACUGAACCGCCAAAAGACCAAAAACCGAUCAAAACCGAUCGGUUUCGGUCAGUAACCGAAACGAACCGCCAAGUCAUCAUCUAAGAUGGAACCAAUACUUAUUUCGGCAAGAGCACAUCUGAACUCAAGAUAAAUAUCCCCUCCGUCCACGAAAUGAGUACCCAUAUUUCUUUUUUCGUCCGUCCACGAAAUGAGUACCAAUUUCCCUUUUUGGCAAGUGUACCCCACACAUCUCUUUAAUUAAUACACUCAAAAAGUGGGACCCUUAAACUAUUCACACUACACUCCAUACAUUUCUUAAAACCCGUGCCGUCCACAAAUGGGUACUCAUUUCGUGGACGGAGGGAGUAAUACACAAAUUGAACAUAAACAUUAAAAGAUUAACCAUAACAUAAGGACUGGAGAUUGGUUGUCUCAUCGGUUUUCUCAAUUAGAUGAGAUACUACUGCUUCAGCACAAAUUUGUCAAACACUCAUCAAAUUAACAAAUCAAAAAUGAUAAAAUCAAUCAAAGAAGGGAUUAGGAGAGAGAAUAAUCCCUCCAGCCGACUCAUGAUGCACAAAUGAAGGCAACCUACACACAAAAGAAACACAAUAGAAUGAUGCGCUAAUGGGGCGUGAGGCGUCGAUGCGGCUGUUGUUGCUGCGUCGACGCGGGCUGCUGCUGCGGAGGGGAGGUCAGGAGGUGGCGCCUAUCUGCUAGCGGCGGAGGGGAGGCCGAAGAGGAAGAAGACCAGAGGUGGGAGGUGAAGUUCUGUNUCUUUUGUUAUUUUUUUCUUAUAUUAUGAUCCACGUGUAUGUGUCUGAGUAAGAAAUUGAAACAGCAUCGAAGCCCAUACUGCUACUUUCAGGGUUUGGUCUGAAUGGUUAAUUCGCUAUUCUUUGUUGUAUUUACUAGCUAUCGAGGAUGAGAUGUGGUUGAAGAUUUGUAUUUACUGGAUUGAGUUGGUAGAGUUUUGUUAGUUGUUUAAUUUCAAUCAUAGACAUUUACGUAUUGUUAUAUUUUAUCCACCUGUAACCUUGCAGAUACGAGAAGUUCUCCAACGCAUGUUUCCUUUUGGCAGGGGACUCUGCCAUGCUUACUGGGCUCCAAACUUCUGGGUGUUCUAUAUAAUGUUGGAUAAGGUUUUAGGAUUUUUGCUAAUGCGACUAGGUUUCAAUGUCCAAGCCCCAAAAGCCUCAUUCACUGGUGGUCUUGUCGGAGAUUCCUCGCCUUUCUCUGUACUACCCACGGUAACAACAUCUACUCUCUUGUUAUAUGUACCAUCAUCUCAAUCCCGUUAUAGUUGCUGACAUUGUGCUUAGUUGUUAAGUAAUUGUCAUUUAUCCAUACGUCCUUCAUUCUUGCCAGUAAUAUUGGGUUUUAAGGAUUCUAAUUGUUUUGCUACUUCUUCUUAUAUCUUGUUUUCUUGAAUAUUAGAUAUUUGAUAAUCUAAGAGUUUAAUUAGUUUCAUUUGUUAAUAUAUUAACCUUAAUUAUGUGAAUUACCGAAGGUAGUUUUUUGUAUUAGUUGGGCAAUAAAUGCAGAUCACACCUUUUAUAACGUUCAUCACAGUUCUCUUGGCAAUAUCACCAUGUUUGAUAAAGGCAUGGAGGAAUCCCCAACCAAGGAUGGUCUCUAGAUGGGUAUCAUAUGCCUAUACAUGUGGAUUCCUGUUUGGGUGGCAUGUCCAUGAAAAGGCGUCACUUCACUUUGUGAUUCCACUUGCUUUGACAUCCUUGAAAAGCGUUGAGGAUGCUAAGCAUUACUUCUUUUUGUCCAUAGGUAAGACAAAACGCUGUAACCUUUAUACUUUAAUUUCUUACCUUUAUUUUGAAAUUAGUAUCAGUUCUCUUUUCUGGAUUGAGCAUUUAUCCACUCAUACGAUGCUACCACAUCUAAGUUGUUUGAUAUGCAAAUAAAUUUGGAUCUCAUCUGUCUCUCAAAUAAUUGUGUUCAACUGUCCUGUACUUUGGUUAUAGUAUUAUUUAACAAUGUUGUUACAUGAAUGAUAUGAGUCUACUAAAGAUAUUUAUUGCUCAGGGCUAACGAAAGUUGUCUAGUCUAAUAGAGGAUAUUGAUUGCUGAAGGCUAACUCUAGUUCCCCCGCCCCCCCCCCUCCUCUCUCUCUCUCACACACACACACUCAGACUCACAAUCGUAGAUAUCCCACUUCUGACACUUGAAGGUUUGCUUUGUGUUAUUUUUGAUUUAUUCAUCAUCAUCUAAGGAAUGCAUAUGAAAUAAUUGAGGAAGGUACAGCUUAACUUUAGAAAUUGGCCCAGGGUGGUUACUAGUUAGUGCAAUAGAGAAAAGAUGUUUGUUGGUGUUCUACCCACAGCAACAGGGGCUUGUGAAAGUAGUGAAGCUGUUUAACGCCAGCCAACUUACACACAGGCAUAGUUGUGUAAAAGUAGUUCCAUAGGAUGUCAGAUAGUUAUCUGCUUGGGCUGAUUUUUGUUGCUGAUGUUGUUUGAUAGUAGCGGUAUUUUUAAUGUUAAUCUGGAUUGCAUGCAUCGAGCUUACUCAUGUUUCCAUUAUUACUAGUGCAGUAUCUUGCUACUCGCUGUUCCCUCUUCUGUUUGAAGCACAAGAAUAUCCUAUUAAAGUCGUGUUGCUGCUUCUACAUGCUGUUCUGAUGCUGUUUGGAUUUUCUGCAUUUUUCCCCAAGCCAAGCACUACAAGAGACGCAGCAGUAGUCAAGGGAAGAGAUAACAAUUCGGAAAGUCAUGCUUUCCGUAUUGGGUGGUUGGGAAAAUCGUACCUUGUUGGCUUAGUAGUGGUGGAGAUAUGGGGGCAAUUUCUGCAUCCUAUCAUUUUUGGUGAUGCCCUUCCUUUUCUACCUCUUAUGAUGAUUUCUAUAUACUGCGCGCUUGGGAUGUUGUACUCUUGGAUUUGGCAACUAACACAGAUCGUUUUGACCAAUUAAUUGAGGGCACAAACUUGUGUGCAUCAGGAUGUACGAUGCACUGGUCCUAGUUAAACCUAAUUAAGGUUCAUUAAUCCCAAAUUAGGAUCUAUCAAUCACGAUUAGGAUUUGAUUAGGACCGGUGCCACUCGAUUGAGUCGGGAUCAUCUCAACUCUCAUUAACUAACAAUUAACCAAGAUUAUGUUGUUGUAGGUGCACUUUUUUUCAGCUUACUAGGAACUUUAUGUUUCAAUGGACCUCAAUUGUUGAGAUACACAUCUCGUUGCCUGUGCUUUUGAAAGAUUCUAAAUGUACAACACUUUUUCCUCUUCUAUUAUAUUCUACUUCCUUAUUUUGAUGAACGAGAAAGGCAAACAAUAUUGCACACCAACAUGGUGUCCUCUUCGGAAUUUCUUUAUUAUAAUCUUGUACUUUUGUUUUGAUUUUUUUGUUUUUCUUUGACUUGGGGGAGCAGUGGGAUUUGAAUGUUAGAUCUCAUUAUGCAUAAACAAGAGUUCGCAUUGUUUGAAUGUAUUCUCGAGAACAUUUGAUACUUUUGUUUGAUC
rnacentral:lncRNA from 1 species